rnacentral:rRNA from 1 species
UACGGAGGGGGCUAGCGUUGUUCGGAAUUACUGGGCGUAAAGCGCACGUAGGCGGCUUUGUAAGUUAGAGGUGAAAGCCCGGGGCUCAACUCCGGAAUUGCCUUUAAGACUGCAUCGCUAGAAUUGUGGAGAGGUGAGUGGAAUUCCGAGUGUAGAGGUGAAAUUCGUAGAUAUUCGGAGGAACACCAGUGGCGAAGGCGGCUCACUGGCUCGGUACUGACGCUGAGACGCGAAAGCGUGGGGAGCGAACAGG